AAUUGAGCCUGACCAGAUAUAGACCAAUCAAGAACAGGAGAGAGAAACAGUCAACAAAAAGGAAAAAGGAAGCUCGAAACCUCCUCUUCUCGAUCGCAGACUACGAUUUCCCCCUCCCUUUUUCCGAUCAGAUUUUCGGCCACAAAACCGACGAAGCUAGGUGGCGAUCGACUUCCUGGACACUGGCGACCUCAGUUCCGGCCUCCCUUUCGCCGAUUGGAGCUUGAUUAGGACUAACAGAUGCUCUCUCUCUUGUGGUGACACUAGCCUCCUCCGACCCGCUUUUCCGACUUUCGGCGAGCCCCAAUCGGCAAGACUGCUAUUGGGAUGCUCCUCUCUUGGCGCUGACUAUUUCCUUCUCACUGAACAAACCUCCAAUAGCGCAAAUCGAAUCUGUAACGAUUAGAUAGCUUCCCUGCUUCGAUUUUCCGGCAAGCCAAGCUCUUUCCGGUAGUUUCUUUCACUAAGGAAUCUUGGUUACUGCCUCUAUAUUAGCCAGAAGCUCUGUAUCCUUUCAUCUUUAGAGCUAGGUGGAAUAAAGUUUAGUUGAAUUAUACUCUUCUUAACUGAAUUUUCUUAUUAUUGUAUAUUUUGUAGAGCUCCGCAAUUACAUUAGGAAAGUAAUAUAUGUAAUAAGAUAUCCAAAAAUAUCUGAUCUCCAGGAAUAAUUAUUUGAAAAUUGUGAAUGAAACUUAGUGCUGAAUAUUGUCAGGCAA